rnacentral:rRNA from 1 species
GAACGCUGGCGGCGUGCUUAACACAUGCAAGUCGAACGAGGCCCACCUUUCGGGGUGGUGUUCUAGUGGCGAACGGGUGAGUAACACGUGGGCAACCUGCCCUCAGCUCUGGGAUAACUCCAAGAAAUUGGGGCUAAUCCCGGAUAUGACUGCUGACCGCAUGGUCUGGUGGUGGAAAGAUUUAUCGGCUAGGGAUGGGCCCGCGGCCUAUCAGCUUGUUGGUGGGGUAGUGGCCUACCAAGGCGACGACGGGUAGCCGGCCUGAGAGGGUGACCGACCACACUGGGACUGAGACACGGCCCAGACUCCUACAGGGAGGCAGCAGUGGGGAAUAUUGCGCAAUGGGCGGAAGCCUGACGCAGCGACUGCCGCGCUGGGGGAUGACGGCCUUCGGGUUGUAAACCUCUUUCAGCAGGGACGAAGCGAGAGUGACGGUACCUGCAGAAGAAGCACCGGCC